UACAGAGGGUGCAAGCGUUGUUCGGAAUUACUGGGCGUAAAGGGCGCGCAGGCGGCUCUGAAAGUCAGAUGUGAAAGCCCCGGGCUUAACCUGGGAAUUGCAUUUGAUACUCUGGAGCUUGAGUACGGGAGAGGAGAGUGGAAUUCCCAGUGUAGAGGUGAAAUUCGUAGAUAUUGGGAAGAACACCGGUGGCGAAGGCGGCUCUCUGGACCGUAACUGACGCUGAGGCGCGAAAGCGUGGGGAGCAAACAGG
rnacentral:rRNA from 1 species